GAUACGGGCAGGCUAGAGUUCGGUAGGGGAGAUCGGAAUUCCUGGUGUAGCGGUGAAAUGCGCAGAUAUCAGGAGGAACACCGGUGGCGAAGGCGGAUCUCUGGGCCGAUACUGACGCUGAGGAGCGAAAGCGUGGGGAGCGAACAGGAUUAGAUACCCUGGUAGUCCACGCCGUAAACGGUGGGCACUAGGUGUGGGCGACAUUCCACGUCGUCCGUGCCGCAGCUAACGCAUUAAGUGCCCCGCCUGGGGAGUACGGCCGCAAGGCUAAAACUCAAAGGAAUUGACGGGGGCCCGCACAAGCGGCGGAGCAUGUGGCUUAAUUCGACGCAACGCGAAGAACCUUACCAAGGCUUGACAUACACCGGAAACGUCUGGAGACAGGCGCCCCCUUGUGGUCGGUGUACAGGUGGUGCAUGGCUGUCGUCAGUUCGUGUCGUGAGAUGUUGGGUUAAGUCCCGCAACGAGCGCAACCCUUGUCCCGUGUUGCCAGCAGGCCCUUGUGGUGCUGGGGACUCACGGGAGACCGCCGGGGUCAACUCGGAGGAAGGUGGGGACGACGUCAAGUCAUCAUGCCCCUUAUGUCUUGGGCUGCACACGUGCUACAAUGGCCGGUACAAUGAGCUGCGAUACCGUGAGGUGGAGCGAAUCUCAAAAAGCCGGUCUCAGUUCGGAUUGGGGUCUGCAACUCGACCCCAUGAAGUCGGAGUCGCUAGUAAUCGCAGAUCA
rnacentral:rRNA from 1 species